rnacentral:miRNA from 14 species
UGCGUGUGUGCAUGUCUAUGUGUGUGUGCAUGUGUAUGUGUGUGCACGUGUGUGUGCAUGUGUAUGUGUGCGUGCGUGUGUGCAUGUCUAUGUGUGUGCACGUGUGUGUGCAUGUGUAUGU